GGAUCGAUAGCUCAGCGGUAGAGCGUGGGAUUGCAGCUAGCACUGCAACAAACAUCCUAAGGUCGCGUGUUCAAUCCACGCUCGGUCCU